GUAGGUGGCAAGCGUUGUCCGGAAUUAUUGGGCGUAAAGCGCGCGCAGGCGGUCCUUUAAGUCUGAUGUGAAAGCCCACGGCUCAACCGUGGAGGGUCAUUGGAAACUGGGGGACUUGAGUACAGAAGAGGAAAGCGGAAUUCCAUGUGUAGCGGUGAAAUGCGUAGAGAUUUGGAGGAACACCAGUGGCGAAGGCGGCUUUCUGGUCUGUAACUGACGCUGAGGCGCGAAAGCGUGGGGAGCAAACAGGGAUUAGAUACCCUGGUAGUCCACGCCGUAAACGAUGAGUGCUAAGUGUUAGGGGGUUUCCGCCCCCUUAGUGCUGCAGCUAACGCAUUAAGCACUCCGCCUGGGGAUACGGCCGCAAGGCUG
rnacentral:rRNA from 1 species